rnacentral:rRNA from 1 species
AUCUACAGCCAUCUCACCUUGAAUGCACCCCAUCUCCUCUGAUCUCGGAGGCUAAACGGGGUCGGGCCUGGUUAGUACUGGGAUGGGAGAAUAUAUAUUUUAGUCUGUCCUUGUCUUAACUGUGAUUCCUCUAGGUA